rnacentral:tRNA from 1 species
UCCCUGGUGGUCUAGUGGUUAGGAUUUGGCACUUUCGCUGUUAUGGUCUGGGUCCGAUCCCUGGUCUGGGAA